rnacentral:rRNA from 1 species
AGAAUGAACGUUGGCGGCGUGGAUUAGGCAUGCAAGUCGAACGCACCGCAAGGUGAGUGGCGCAAGGGUGAGUAAGGCGACGGUAACCAACCCCGAGACUGGGUAUAGCCGCGGGAAACUGCGGGUAAUCCCCAGCGAUGUCACGAGGAGGCAUCUCCUGGUGACCAAAGCUCCGGCGUCUUGGGACGGGCCGUCGUGGUAUUAGGUAGUUGGCGGGGUAACGGCCCACCAAGCCAAAGAUGCCUACCGGGCGUGCGAGCGUGGCCCGGCACACUGGGACUGAGACACUGCCCAGACUCCUACGGGAGGCUGCAGUCGAGAAUCUUCGGCAAUGGGCGCAAGCCUGACCGAGCGACGCCGCGUGGAGGACGAAGGCCUUCGGGUUGUAAACUCCUGUCGAGGGGGAAGAAGCCGCAAGGUUGACUGAUCCCUGGAGGAAGCACGGGCUAAGUUCGUGCCAGCAGCCGC